UCGGGAAUAUUGGGCAAUGCCCGCAAGGGUGACCCAGCAACGCCGCGUGGAGGAUGAAUGUCGUAAGAUUGUAAACUCCUGUUAGAGGGGAAGAAUAGUACCGGUUGGACCGGUAUAUGACUGUACCCUCAGAGAAAGCCCCGGCUAACUACGUGCCAGCAGCCGCGGUAAUACGUAGGGGGCAAGCGUUGUCCGGAUUUACUGGGUGUAAAGGGCGCGCAGGCGGGAUAAAAAGUCAGUGGUGAAAUCCUACAGCUUAACUGUAGAACUGCCUUUGAUACUUUUAUUCUUGAGUUCGGGAGAGAGAGACGGAAUUCCAGGUGUAGUGGUGAAAUACGUAGAUAUCUGGAAGAACACCAGUUGCGAAGGCGGUCUCUUGGUCCGACACUGACGCUGAGGCGCGAAAGCGUGGGGAGCAAACA
rnacentral:rRNA from 1 species